rnacentral:rRNA from 1 species
CGACUCUCGGCAACGGAUAUCUCGGCUCUCGCAUCGAUGAAGAACGUAGCGAAAUGCGAUACUUGGUGUGAAUUGCAGAAUCCCGUGAACCAUCGAGUCUUUGAACGCAAGUUGCGCCCGAGGCCUCGGCCGAGGGCACGUCUGCCUGGGUGUCACG